rnacentral:rRNA from 1 species
CAACGCCGCGUGGGGGAUGAAGCUUUUCGGAGUGUAAACCCCUUUCGACCCGGAAGAAAGCCCGCAAGGGUUUGACGGUACGGGUAUAAGAAGCCCCGGCUAAACUACGUGC